rnacentral:piRNA from 1 species
UACCAACCUCGUCAUGACUGUGCUAA